GCCUUCAUGGUGUAAUGGUCAGCACGCUCGGCGCGUAUUCGAGAGGUCAGUGGUUUGAGUCCCGGCGAGGGCA
rnacentral:tRNA from 1 species